rnacentral:lncRNA from 1 species
UUUUUCUUUGUAUUUCAUCUAUUGUAAUUGAAAAAAAGGAAAUUACGAAAAAAAAAGUAAAAUUGAGAAUAAAAAAAGAGUACGAAGUAAAAAAAAUUCGAAAAAAAAAAGUGAAGUGUUGGAAUUUUUGUUUAUUCAUUCUUUGUAAUCCCGAUCAUUCCCUAACACUCUUCUUUCUUUCUUUCACGCCACACUUAGUUCAAAGCCUCCCUUGUUUCUUUUAGCCUACCCAUAACCUAACAUCAAUCCCUUGUGAACCAUUUUGAAGCC